AUGAAAACUAAAUUAGAAGAUAGAUUCAGAAAAACCAAACGGGGAAACCGUGAAAUAGCUCAACCAGAAAAAUCAGAAAGUUAUAACAAAUCAUUAAUCCCAAGCAGAAUUUCUCCACAAGAAAAACUCAGAAUCAAAAUUCAAUUGAUAUUCCAGCUCAGCAAAACUUCUCAAGCAAGUUAA